AGACAGGUGGUGCAUGGUUGUCGUCAGCUCGUGUCGUGAGAUGUUGGGUUAAGUCCCGCAACGAGCGCAACCCUUAACUUUAGUUGCCAGCAUUAAGUUGGGCACUCUAGAGUGACUGCCGGUGACAAACCGGAGGAAGGUGGGGAUGACGUCAAAUCAUCAUGCCCCUUAUGACCUGGGCUACACACGUACUACAAUGGUCGGUACAACGGGAAGCGAAGCCGCGAGGUGGAGCCAAUCCUAAAAAGCCGAUCUCAGUUCGGAUUGCAGGCUGCAACUCGCCUGCAUGAAGUCGGAAUUGCUAGUAAUCGCGGAUCAGCAUGCCGCGGUGAAUACGUUCCCGGGUCUUGUACACACCGCCCGUCACACCACGAGAG
rnacentral:rRNA from 1 species